UUUCAUCUUCUAAUGAACUCCGUUGUUAUGAUGAAGUCCUUAGGACUAUUUAAGUUUGAUAAAGAGAGGAUUUAUUGAUUAGUCCUUAAAACUGUUCAUGACCAAAUGAUAAGUUGUUAAUAAGGUCGAUAGCUUCUAUCAAGCAUAGGUCGCUGUAGGCCAUAUGGGUUGGUUGUCCUCUUAACCAAGGAGUGUGGAGACACUGGUAUGGCAUACAGGUGAAAUGUAAGGGUACAUCAUCAUUGAACGUGACCAACUCCAGAGUAUUCUGCUGUCGAGAAUGUCUCUGAUGGGAUAUAGGUAUAAGUAUCCCUAAGACUUGAGAUCGCCUCAGUGACUUGCA
rnacentral:lncRNA from 1 species